rnacentral:lncRNA from 1 species
GCUGCCUCCGAGGCGGCUCUGAGGCGCGGGUCACUCACCGGGGUCAGGGCUGGCGCGGCGGAGGCGUCCUCGGGAGCGGACCGGGGGGGGAGCGAGAGAGCCGGAGAGCGAGCGCCUCUCCCUCACAAACAAACAAACACGGAGAGAGAGAGAGAGACCCACACACGCGCACACGCACCGGGAGUUGGUUUCGGCCGGGCGGUCAAAGCGAGGCGGGCGGAGAUCCCUGACCAGGGCCGGCGAGAAGGGCGGGCGGGCAGGGGGGUCAGCGAGGGUCUCCGGGUCUCCACCGGGUCCCGGGUCCGCUUCGCUCCUUUGUGUAAUUUCACUCGAUUCAAGUUUAAUCCGAUAGUUCCCGAGCGCGUCCGCAAAAGCCGAGCGACACACCAGCCAGCCGAGCGGCUGCCGUUGCUGCUACCGCCCCCUGCCUGUCCGCUCGCCCGCCCCCGUCGCUCGCUCGCUCCCUCCGCCCGCCACGAGGCGCGUCCCCGACGCCACUUGCCCUCUCUCCCUCCCUCCUUGCCUGCCUCCCGUGGACGAGCGAGCGGGGCGGGGGGGGGAGAGGGAAGGAGGGAGAGUGCGCGCGCCCGCAAACCCCGCCCCACAUGGUUACACGUCAUCAGCCACCGGCAUAAUUUAUGCAAGAAUCCAGCCUUCCUAAAAGGGCAGCGGGGGGAGGGGGUCAGGUCACUAACUCCCUCCUCCGCUUUCUUUCCUUCCUUCCUCCUCUCCUCCCCCCCCCCUCGGCCUCCGCUCUCCACGAGGACACUCUCCUCCUCCUCCUCCCCCCCCCGCCCUCAGGAAAGAAGGAAGGAAAGGGAGAUGGACGGUUGGGGGAGGGGGGCGUCAAGCGCUGACAGGGCGCCGGGUACACAAGGGCUCAGACAAGUCGACACCCACUUCUUCGCCCGCCGCCCUCAAGCGACGGGAGGGGAAGGGGGGCGGGGCGGAGAGGAGGACGGCGUCCAAGACCCAGAUAUCGACAUGGAGAUAGCGAGGUGGCGCCCUGCCUCGCCCGCGGGCGAAUGGCCGGCCAGAGAGGGGCGGCGUUCCCAGGACGGAGCCGCCGCUCGCUCGGGGCCUCACGCAGCUUAA